rnacentral:rRNA from 1 species
GGAGGGUGCAAGCGUUAUCCGGAUUCACUGGGUUUAAAGGGUGCGUAGGUGGGUUGGUAAGUCAGUGGUGAAAUCUCCAGGCUUAACUUGGAAACUGCCAUUGAUACUAUUAAUCUUGAAUGCCGUGGAGGUCAGCGGAAUAUGUCAUGUAGCGGUGAAAUGCUUAGAUAUGACAUAGAACACCAAUUGCGAAGGCAGCUGGCUACACGAAUAUUGACACUGAUGCACGAAAGCGUGGGGAUCAAACAGGAUUAGAUACCCUGGUAGUCCACGCCCUAAACGAUGGAUACUCGACAUACGCGAUAUACUGUGUGUGUCUGAGCGAAAGCAUUAAGUAUCCCACCUGGGAAGUACGAUCGCAAGAUUG